AAGUAACGAGAGAUUCACGUGAUCGAUAAGUAUCGGGGAAACGGAUCGUGAUCCACGUGUAUUCCGUGGAUCUCGAUCUUUACCACCUUUUGUCUUCGGCAAUUGUUCGUUGUGCGAGACGUUCGCGAGCCUUGGAUACUUUCUUGGCGAGCUUUAAGACCGACCAUGAAAAUAAAUAUCAGAGCCUGGAAAUUAAGGCCUUUCAAAAAUCUACCGGCACGGCGUUGCUCCCGCGCUCAUUGUCAGCAAUUAAUCGUAAAGGGACCGGUUUUUGCCCUUCUGAUAAAAAGUCCAGCGGAUAGAAGAUUGCCAGUGGAUCAAUUGAAUAACAUCAUAUUCUUUACUUCUUCCUCGAGACUCCGACAAACAGCAGUUUUUUUUAAAUUUGUUGUCCCACAUUAUACUGUAAACUAAGCCUUCUAACGUCACAAAGAAAGGUUCUUAAUUUAGUUGCAACAACGUUGUUAUGUCUAUGGAUGCCUUUAGAAUUCAGAUGAUAUUUUAUACAAUAUCCUACAAGUAGAGAAAGUGGAAAACGAUAAGAAGAAAUAUACUGGAAAAAGCAGGAAAGAUAAGGGCGUGAUUGGCCGAUGACGAACAAGAGGAUGGAAUAGAGAAAAUAUUGGAAGAUAUAUGGAGAGAAAAAGAGGAAGUAAGGAAAUAUAAGGAAAUAAAAUGUCGAAGCAAUAGAAAAGAUUUAAGUACUUGGAGGAAAGAGUGAAAAGUAAAGAUUGGAAAUAGCUGCAGAAAUGAAGUUAGACGGUAAGAUUCGACGGAAGGUGAAGACAGGAAAUGUAUAAAUAUAAAAGUAUAUUAAUAUAAAGAAUAUAAAGCGAGAGACGUAAUUAUAGGUAUAGCUAGCGAUGUAAGUGAAUUGACAUUAAACAUAAUAUGAGAGCAGGAAAUGAGUGAAAGGCGGCGUAAGGGGGAGAAAUACGAAAGAUGAAAAGAGAAAGAUCAAUGUGUAAUACAUGUAGAAUAUAGGUUCAGUUAUAUUAUAAAAUAUCGAUUUAGUUCUAGGGGAAAAUGUAAAGCCGGAGGGUCAUUUCAAACCGAAGGGCAUGAACUAUGAAUAAAUAAAUAAAUACGACAUUCUGCAAAUUGUACGAGCCCAAAUGUUCUUCGUUCGGUGCGAUGAACCACGCCCGGAGCACCAAUUACGCGUGGACCAUCAAACUCCCGAAUCCAGUUCCCUCUUGAAACUUUCCGCAAAAACCGUUAAGCACUACGAAGAACGAGCCAGCACCCGGUUACGCGAAUUCCACACGAGGGGCCCCACGGGUAAUACGGUCAUUUUUC